GGAGAAGCGCGCAGAAAGACUGCUUUUGGGAUGAUAGAGGACACGCUGGCAAUCGCUACACCAACAGAAGCUGCUAAAGUUAAAUAAAACGAUGAAGUCAGAAAGUAGUUACUAUAAACUUAGUGAACGGGUUUACUUCGGCAUAACCGUAGCUGCCUUACGGGCGUUAGUUAGGUUUUAAAACUUCGGUGAGUUACAAACUCGGGGUUGAAAAAAAAUAUUCGCCUCUAACUUUAUCUUCUUAUAUGCUUAAAGCCCAGAUUUGCUGGUAGCUUUUUAAUGACUCAGUAAAGAGUCACUUUGCACUAAAUAGUGAAUGACCAUUUGUAUAUUUUGUUCUUUUUGUGGUUAAAUUAAAAGAUCCGUUUAUGUUGCACUAAAUGUAAUGGGGAGAAACUGGUUAGCUAAGGGGCAUUGCAGUGCAUACCACAGCACAUUCCUAUGCUACGCUUUAAUUGUAGCGCCUCGUGGUUCGUGCUGGGCGCCACCAUUUUAGAACCAUAUGGGACACGCCAUCAUUGGUCAGGUUUUUUUUCUGGUUUAUUUGUUUGAAUCCGCCCUGCUCUGGUUAUCCAAGGAUGGCGAGCCAACCGUUGUGAAACUUGGGACCCUGGAUUUUGUUUUGAUUUUCCUUGGAUGGACUCUGAGCAGUAACCACUCUCUCCCGUGUGGUAGGACUGUGUUGCACUUUCACUCUCUGACCUGCUACAAGCAGUGCAGUUCUGGACAACUGACACCUACACACUAAGACACACUUUGUGUCUUUGGGACUGUUAAUAUACAAUUGUACAUGUUGAAUUUUGUGUUUAAUUGCACCAGUUUUAUUUUGAACGCAAGCGAUAAUUUUGAACUCCUGGGUGCAUAAUUGAUUGUUAUUGAUCUAUUGAUAACUGAACUGUUUUACUACUGCAACUAGGGUUUCUCAGUCAGGAUAGCGGGUGCACCCUCAGAUCAGAUAAUUGAUACCAGUCUUGUUGAUAUUCAUGGGCCUAUGCACAAUUCUGGUGUAAAGUUUUUAUUUUAGUAUUUUUAUUUUACAAUUUAAAAGUGACAAUAUAAGCCGGUUAAAAAGGUAAUCAGUGUGGUGUCAUCAUUUAUCCAUCAUCUGCUCCAGCAAGCGAACCUAACUGGUCCAAAUCUAAUUGUGGUUUUAACUAGGCUACUGUAUUAUACCACCAUCACCACAUAAGUGCUACACUAGCAAUAUCGGAAGAGCUAUCCUAAAAUUUCUUCUGCGGGCACUUUUUUAUUUUCUGCUGAAAAUGUUAGCAAAGCUACAGUAGGCUUAUGCUGAGCAAUUGCAAAAGUGUACCUUGCACACAAAAGGCAUAUCAGUGUGCUCAUCAGAUUUCUUGGCCAUGCAGGUGUGGUAAGUCCUGGAACUGCAAACACCCACGUUAAUAAAUUGUCACAUUCAACUCCUGCACUGGCCCUUGAGUCACCAAUAAUUCGCUUGCAGUGCACCCUUUGCACUGUAAAGGUCUGUAUUAUGCUUACACAAUAGAUCUUACGUGAUUGAUACAAUACCUUAUCAGUAACCUAAAGCUGUCUUUACGUCACAGUUACCUGUUAGUCGGCUGACCAUUUAAAUCAAAGAAUUGUGUUGGGCCAUGAUCCACAUCAUUAUACUAAUUUUUAUUUAUGCUCUUGGUUUUAUGUACAGUUAUGUGCAUGUAUAUGUACUGUAUGUAUACACUGUAAGAAAUCUGUCUCUGAUGCCAAUAUGUCUGCUGGCCACACAUUCCCUUGAUCUUAUUAUCACAAUACAGUUGGUACAAUGGUAGAAUAGCGGCCGGGAGUGAGAGAUUGGGAACCAUUCAAGUCAACUGACGUGCUGAUUCAAUCACAACAGGACAGCCAAUACACUAUGGCCUAAUUGAUAGGUGUUACAAGAACUGACUACAUCCAUCUUGGUAUGUGUAUUUAACACUCCUGAUCAAAGCUUCGAAAACAAAUAAGAAGCAGCCUCUGGAAAGGUUCUUGGUUCAGUCUGACUCUGCUGAAUCCAAGGUGUCAUUCGUGCGCUUUGUCACUGCCGGUAUUGGAAAUAAACUUUGUACUUUUUCAUCA